AGCGAACGCUGGCGGCGGGCCUAACACAUGCAAGUCGAACGGCAGCACACUAAUUGCGUGCUCUUAUGGGUUGGCAGUCGCGGACGGGUGACGAGUACAUCGUACUCUUCUCUUUCGUGUGGGUUAACGUAGCGGAACUUACGCUCAUAUCGCAUACCCUCUUUGGUGGAGAGCGUUGGAACGAUUUAUCUUUCGCGCUUGAAUGAGCCGAUUAUGUAUUUGUUUGUUGGCGGGGUAAAGGCCAACCAAGGCGACGGUCCGUAGCUGGUCUGAGAGGAUGAUCAGCCACACUGGAACUGAGACACGGUCCAGACUCCUACGGGAGGCAGCAGUGGGGAAUAUUGGACAAUGGGCGCAAGCCUGAUCCAGCCAUACCGCGUGGGUGAAGAAGGCCUUCGGGUUGUAAAGCCCUUUUGUUGGGAAAGAAAAGCAGCAGGUUAAUACCCCGCUGUUCUGACGGUACCCAAAGAAUAAGCACCGGCUAACUUCGUG
rnacentral:rRNA from 1 species